rnacentral:rRNA from 1 species
AGCGAACGCUGGCGGCAGGCUUAACACAUGCAAGUCGAACGCCCCGCAAGGGGAGUGCAGACGGGUGAGUAACACGUGGGAACGUACCCUUUGGUUCGGAAUAACUUGGGGAAACUCAAGCUAAUACCGGAUAAGCCCUUAUGGGGAAAGGUUUACUGCCGAAGGAUCGGCCCGCGUCUGAUUAGCUAGUUGGUGAGGUAACGGCUCACCAAGGCGACGAUCAGUAGCUGGUCUGAGAGGAUGAUCAGCCUCACUGGGACUGAGACACGGCCCAGACUCCUACGGGAGGCAGCAGUGGGGAAUAUUGGACAAUGGGGGCAACCCUGAUCCAGCCAUGCCGCGUGAGUGAUGAAGGCCUUAGGGUUGUAAAGCUCUUUUACCCGGGACGAUAAUGACUGUACCGGGAGAAUAAGCCCCGGCUAACUUCGUGCCAGCAGCCGCCGUAA